GGAAUGUGGCUCAAGCGGUAACGUGCUCGCCUGGCAUGCGUGGGGCUCUGGGUUCGAUCCUCAGCACCA
rnacentral:tRNA from 1 species